AUCCAGAUGGCGAGUUCCAAACUGAACGAAACGCGCGUCUUUGAU
rfam:Schistosoma rodhaini strain Burundi genome assembly, scaffold: SROB_scaffold0003760